GCAAGCAUCACAGGCGCCCCUCCUGGAAAUUUUGUUCCUCACCAGUGAAGACAUGAAAGUUCGUCUGGAUUCAAUUCAAGAGACGGUUAACCAGAUGACCGGAAAGUUUUCUGCUGACGUGAAUGAGUUAAAGGAACAGAAGACGUGGUCACUGGGUGCCAUCAACCACAUUUACGGAGAGCUGGGCAAGGUCGAGCAUGAAUUCCGAGAGGCUGUGCGAGACUAUUUUGCUGCACGAGACGAAGCCUAAACUGCCAACGGAUCUCAAAGGAGUUCCGUCUUAGAAAUGUUACAGCGCACACAGACGGGGACAAAAG
rnacentral:lncRNA from 1 species